CGGCUCGAAAGUAUAAUCGAACCACUCUGCAAUUACAGGUUUGAAGCCUGCAUACUGAAACCCCGAAGAUCAUCUAGGC